rnacentral:rRNA from 1 species
AACGAACGCUGGCGGCAUGCCUAACACAUGCAAGUCGAACGAGACCUUCGGGUCUAGUGGCGCACGGGUGCGUAACGCGUGGGAACCUGCCCUUAGGUUCGGAAUAACUCCCCGAAAGGGGUGCUAAUACCGGAUAAUGUCUUCGGACCAAAGAUUUAUCGCCUUUGGAUGGGCCCGCGUUGGAUUAGCUAGUUGGUAGGGUAAAAGCCUACCAAGGCGACGAUCCAUAGCUGGUCUGAGAGGAUGAUCAGCCACACUGGGACUGAGACACGGCACAGACUGCUACGGGAGGCAGCAGAGGGGAAUAGUGGAAAAUGGGCGAAAGCAUGAUCAAGCAAUGACGCGUGAGUGAUGAAGGCCGUAGGGUUGUAAAGCUCUAUUACAAGGGAUGAUAAUGACAGUACCGGGAGAAUAAGCACCGGCUAACUCCGUG